rnacentral:snRNA from 1 species
UUUAGGUUAGAAACCCAUACGA